UAAGGGCUAUGCAAUCAUUGU
rnacentral:siRNA from 1 species